ACACCUUUAAGAUCAUCUGUUCUUAUCAGUUUAACAUCUGAUAUAAGCUCUGUUUGAGGACAAUAUAUUCAGUAGAUUUCUGGAACUGGGAUUUGUAAGAGAGCCUUACUCCAUCUACUCUGUGCAUCAACCUACUAUUGCAGUACCUCCAGGAAGAGUGCAACCUGC
ensembl:snRNA U2 U2 spliceosomal RNA